AGCAAAUGGCGGAUGACGCCGGUGCAGCGGGGGGGCCCGGAGGCCCUGGUGGCCCUGGGAUGGGGAACCGCGGUGGCUUCCGCGGAGGUUUCGGCAGUGGCAUCCGGGGCCGGGGUCGCGGCCGGGGACGGGGCCGGGGCCGAGGCCGCGGAGCUCGCGGAGGCAAGGCCGAGGAUAAGGAGUGGAUGCCCGUCACCAAGUUGGGCCGCUUGGUCAAGGACAUGAAGAUCAAGUCUCUGGAGGAGAUCUAUCUCUUCUCCCUGCCCAUUAAGGAAUCAGAGAUCAUUGACUUCUUCCUGGGGGCCUCUCUCAAGGAUGAGGUUUUGAAGAUUAUGCCAGUGCAGAAGCAGACCCGUGCCGGCCAGCGCACCAGGUUCAAGGUACCCUGUCCUGGAGGGGGCUGUCCUGGGCUGGGCUUGCCGGGACUCUCUCAGCUCUGCAUAGUUGCACUUGGCUUCACCCGUGUGACUUUCGUAACCAGGAGAGAGAGAAAAGAUCUCCUCAGGACCUCGGAUGGGCCUUAUCGUGGCCUCUCUUUCCUUGAGGGGCGCAACAGCCCUUGGGCGGUGGGCAGUGAUUGGGUGUAGGGCCACCAGCUGCCUCACGCACAUCUCUUCACAGGCUCCUUCGGGCCCCCAUCUCCUGACUCCUUCCCUCACCAGGUGACAGGCCGCUGCGGCUCUGUGCUGGUGCGCCUCAUCCCUGCACCCAGGGGCACUGGCAUCGUCUCCGCACCUGUGCCUAAGAAGCUGCUCAUGAUGGCUGGUAUCGACGACUGCUACACCUCAGCCCGGGGCUGCACUGCCACCCUGGGUAACUUCGCCAAGGCCACCUUUGAUGCCAUUUCUAAGACCUACAGCUACCUGACCCCUGACCUCUGGAAGGAGACUGUAUUUACCAAGUCUCCCUAUCAGGAAUUCACUGACCACCUCGUCAAGACCCACACCAGAGUCUCUGUGCAGCGGACUCAGGCUCCAGCUGUGGCUACAACAUAGGAUUUUUAUACAAGAAAAAAUAAAGUGAAUUAAGUGUG
rnacentral:sRNA from 1 species